rnacentral:rRNA from 4 species
AGUCAAGCAAUGAAAGGCGAAUGGUGGAUACCUAGGCACACAGAG